rnacentral:rRNA from 1 species
AUUGAACGCUGGCGGCAUGCCUUACACAUGCAAGUCGAACGGCAGCACGGGGCAACCUGGUGGCGAGUGGCGAACGGGUGAGUAAUGCAUCGGAACGUACCUUUCAGUGGGGGAUAACGUAGCGAAAGUUACGCUAAUACCGCAUAUUCUGUGAGCAGGAAAGCAGGGGAUCGCAAGACCUUGCGCUGAUUGAGCGGCCGAUGUCAGAUUAGCUAGUUGGUGAGGUAAAGGCUCACCAAGGCGACGAUCUGUAGCGGGGCUGAGAGGAUGAUCCGCCACACUGGAACUGGGACACGGUCCAGACUCCUACGGGAGGCAGCAGUGGGGAAUUUUGGACAAUGGGGGCAACCCUGAUCCAGCCAUGCCGCGUGAGUGAAGAAGGCCUUCGGGUUGUAAAGCUCUUUCGGCCGGGAAGAAAUCGCACGGGCUAAUACCCUGUGUGGAUGACGGUACCGGAAUAAGAAGCACCGGCUAACUACGUGCCAGCAGCCGCAGUAAUAC